GCACCCAAUCCCAUCGUCUCCUCCUGUCAUCCCGUUCCUUGCUCCACACCAGCCGCCACACAACCCUAGCUCCUUUCCCUUCGAUCCCCACAGCCCCUCCCUCCUCCUCGUUCCUCGCCAUUGCCUCCAUUGUAGGAUCCUCUGCAUGGCCUGCUACUCCCCCUCCACCACCGUAGCUGCACACAGACGGCGGAUCCGUGCCGGAGAAGAGCAGCUCUAGUCACGGUGGGGUGUAGCUGCGAGGAAGACGAAGGAGGUCCGUCGCCCGGCUUUGCGUCCUCGCUGCAUCCUUGUUGCUGCUCCUCCUCUCUCCCUCCGUGCCUAUCAGCGCAGCAGCCGAGGACAAGGGGAAGGAGCAGCCCAGCCCUGCUCCAUCUCUCUUUUCUCCAUCCACGAGGAUUGGAGGAGAAGGGAUCAAAUCUGGUGCGAGAGGUGUGUUAUUAUCCGUAGGCGUGCAAUCUUGGCUACGAUCUAUGCUGGUGAUUUGGUUGACAACUGGUAAAUCUACGAAUCGUUCAAAAAUGUUGAACUUGUUAUCCUACUGUGUGACAUGUUUUGAUUAUGCUUUUAAGCACUACGCUUUGCUGAUUUAGUGCCAUUUAUCUGGUGCAUGAAAAUGUCGAUGUUAAAGCAUUUGGUUUCUCUCUGUUCAACUGAAGAUGGCUUCAGAUAUGACUAAGGUUUGAAUAUUCAUGUGUUAUUUUCUGCAUGUUGUAGUUUCUUGUUCUUCUAUAAACUGGAAGGCCAAUAUAGAUUUCUCAAUGUAUCAUUUUGGGACUGUUUGACUGCUGAACAAUGUUGCCAUGCUGAUCAUUUCUCAUGUCUUUGCAAUUUUUGGUCUUUGUUUUGAUUUCGUUGUGUGGCUGUGCUUCGAUCAAGGUGAGUUGAGUUGCGGCUUGGUUGGAGAUGUUGAUGCUGUUCAAGACGCCCGCUGGAUCCACCCUUUUCAAGGUUCUGAAUGAGGGCAAGCUCGACAAGGUCAAGGUGAGUGCUCGCCGCCACCUCAGCUCGUGGUUUGGUUUGGAUUACUCGAGUUUUUUCUUUCGACGACAAAAUAAUUUCUCUUUUCGAAACACUUAGUAGCUGAUCUAUCUAUCACAUUACAAGAGAGUAAGUCAGAAGAAGCCCUUUCUUUGAAUGAGCAAGAAUCCAUGGAGUGCUCAUGAUCUAUGUGUCCCUUUUCCAAAUGUUAGAAAUGUUAUCUUAGCUUAGUUAUCGCAUAGAAGUUGGCUUGGGAUACUAGGCUCAUUUGAUGUUUGCAUGACUUCCCAACCGCAAGGAACACUCCACAAAGAAACUCACUUAAGCAGGCUGAUAGAUGAUACAUUGUCUUGAGCCUAUUUGCUCAAAAUAAUGAGAGGCUGAAUGAUUCAGUUAGAUACAUGUUGAACCAUCUUUCUCACCUCAGCAUUUCUUUACACUUGAUUACUAAUUCGUCAAGGAGUUUUUGUACCUUGACACCUAUUUUCCCAAACUGUAUGUACCCACCGCUUGCAAAAGAAACCAAUUUAAACCCUUUUCGAAAAAUUUGUACUGUCGUAAGGUUGAAAAAAAUACAUGUUAUCCUGUAAGCACUUGAAUUGGAAGGCAAAAUGAAAGAUAAUUAAGUAGUGGAUAAUCUUACCUAGACAUUUGUUGCAUUUAUCUAUUCUUAAAAAAUGAUGAUAAAAUUAAAUGGUCAGUGUUGGAACUGAUUAUCGGUACUUGCUAUCUAAAAGCAGUACACACACAUUGCAGCUAUGAAAAACCGACAUUUUAUACACCUUAUGUAAAAAAGACAAAAGAAAUGUCUCAUGAAAAGCCUUUUUUAAUACUAAAUUCUAUCUUUUUGGCAUGUGACACAAAAGUUGCCAGUUUUCCAUGAAAUGAAGUUUGUAUGCACAUAGAAUGUUGAGAUGUACAUGAGAAUCAUUUUGUCUGAAUUUUAUGACAUUUCAAAAUAUAUUUAAAACACAUUUUAAAAUCCAGGAGCAUAUGCUCCCAUGUGUCAAAACACCACUCUACACCUAUUUCCUUCCUUUUUCUUUUUCUUUUUUUGAACAGAGUACAAUCGGAGUCAUUCAAAUACAUGAGCAUACACUCAUUCAUAUGAACACACACUCGCACACCCUACCCCUAUGAGUAUCUUUGAGAGACUGAGUUGGCACAUCAUUUUGAGAUUGACGAAGUCGCCACAAACGUCUUUGUUCGACGGGAAUGUCUCAUCCCACUGAAUAUAUAUCGCUGGAAGGCCUGGAGUAAAUUCAGAAAAAUGCAAGCACCAAUAUCAAGUCUGAGAUUUGAACUCUGGUGGACAGGGGAUACCGCCCUACCCUUAUGAGCAUCUUCGAGAGACUAAGCUAGCACAUCAUUUUGAGAUUGAUGAAGUCGCCACAAACGUCUUUGUUCGACGGGAAUGUCUCCUCCCACUAAACAUAUAUCGCUUGAAGGAUGUCUAAGUUUGAGAUUUGAACCCUGGUGGACAGGGGAUACCACUAUCUCAUAACCAUCCAACCAUAGGUUGGUUUGCAUGUCUUUAAUGCAUGAUAGAACAUCCAACAACACAACAAUAUAAGAAAAACCUUUGGCACCAUUGCCAUAUAUUAUAGGUUAAAAAUCCUAUGCCAUGCUAACCAUCAUGUGCAAAGUUAUUUAAAAGAAUCAUAUUAAUUCAAAUAACAAGGCCAUUGUACCAAGAUAACCCAAGUGCAUUCUUAAGUUAAGCAAAAUACUUGCAUUUAAUUCUUUCUUUUCCAUUUGGCACAACAGGAGUUUGUAUGUUUGGAAAGCAAUAUCUUAAUAAAUUAUGGGUUUGAUCUCCAAAUGUGCUUGAACAUAAUCAAGUCAAGGAAGAUGUCACGUCACCCACAAAAAAAACGAAGAUGUUGCGUCGCAUCUUCGUGGAAUGUAAAGUUGUCUGUCAUGUACGUACCUUGCUCAUUUGGACAAAUAUGUUCUCUUUUAAACUCAGAUUUCUCAAUGUAGUAGCCAUAUUUUCAACUAAAAAAAUGCUUCCUUAACUGGUCUACACAUAUUAUACACAUAUAUUUUUUCCAAACUCGGGUUCUUUAGCGAGAUAAACAUAUCAAAUAUGUCAUUGCAAAAUGAAACUAUUUUCAUCGACAACAUGGCUUUAGCGGGUCUCUGCGUCAUUUGGUGCAACAUGUCCACUAGUAUACAAAUUGAUCAGGUCGUCCUAAUUUUUCAGAAUUUUUGGAGUUACGGAAGUAUUCGAAAUAGUUAGAUUUCUACACACUAUUCUGUUUUGACAGAUUCUGUUUUCUUUGUGUUGUGUGUUUAUUUUGAUGGCUCUAUGGUUUUCUUUGAUGGGGUUUUGCCAUAGAAAAAUUGGAAUACAGUAGAUAUAAUGCAAGAACAAAAAUAUGAAUUGGUUUGAUACAUCACUUAUAGUAGUGAUUUAUUAUUCUUAUACUAACAGAUCUCACGAAGGUUUUGUUAAGUUUUGUGUGAUUGAAGUUUUCAAGUUUUGGGUUAUCUUACAAUGGAUGAAGGAAUAAGGAGUAGAAGAGCCUAAGCUUGGGGAUGCCCCGGCACCCCAAACUAUUAUCCAAAAAUGAGAAAUGAACUAAUCUUGGGGAUGCCCCCGAGUGGCAUCCCCUCUUUCUUCUAACGACCAUCGGUAUAUUACUCGAAGCGAUAUUUUUAUUCGUCACAUACUAUGUGUUUUGCUUGGAGCGUCUUGUAUGAUAUGAGUCUUUGCUUGUUUUAUUAUGUGUUUUAAGUCUUGAUCUCUUGCUUGACACACCUAUUUGAGAGAGCCAAAAUUAUGUCAUGACUUAUUACAAUUGCUCUCUAUGCUUCACUUAAAUUUUUUAUGAGCUAUGGACUUGCUCUAGUGCUUCACUUAUAUCUUUUUGAGCACGGUAUGCUUAGUAUUUUUUAAGAAAUGCUCUCUUGCUUCACUUAGAUUUAUUUGAGAGUUCGUAAAUUUUUCAAGAAGUUCUCUCUUGCUUCACUUAAAUUAAUUUGAGAGAAAGAAAAAUUAUGCACAUGAUCUUCACUUAUAUUUGUUUGAGCUUGUCAAAAGCAACACAUAAAAAUUAGUCCCAAAGUGAUAGAUAUCCAAGAAAGAUAUAAUAAAAACUUUCAUGAAGAUCAUUGGACAAAAUAAACUUUAUUCUUAGUAAUAGUUUUGAGAUGUGAUGAUGUGAUACAUGAGUCAUCUUGAUGAGUAAUUAUGCUUUAGUAAGAAUAUUGGUGUUAAGGUUUGUGAUUACCUAUGCAAGCACGAAAGUCAAUAGUUAUGCAAUGAAAUUAUAUCCUACUUAUGAUGCAUUAUUCGGUGUUAGUUAUGCUUAAUGCUCGCUUAUGAGAAUAUUCGUUUCUUGGUUGGUCGCUUCACAAUCUUUUGCUAGUCUUUAUUUUGCACUAAGUAUGAUUACUACUUGUGCAUCCAAAAAUCUUUAACCCAGUUUUCCCACAUGAGUCCACUAUAUCUACAUAUAUGCGGUAUUCUUUUGCGAUUCUAAGCAAAUUUGCAUGAGCCAUCUCUAAUUUUUUAAAAUAAACUUCUCUUUUUGUGUUUGUUUUGCUCAUGGAGCUGUGAGGUGUGGCUAAUAUUUUCCAUGCUAGCUGUGUUAUUCUCAUGAUGAGUGUUUAUUCACUUGUCAUUGCACGAGAGUAAGCCAAAGGCAUUAGGGAUUCCCAGUCCCGAAAUGCAAAAAAUGAAUUUACUUUAUGUUGUCAAAUAAUAAAUUCCUUGGAAAGUGUUGGUAUGGAGGGCACCCAUGAAUACGGUUAGCCAUGGAAAGUGAAAGUAUGAUGGAAAAAGGAAUAAACUUUAUUUUCUGUUUGGGAACCACCUAUGAUAUAUCUAAGCAUGGAAAGUAUUGGGAACUCUAAGUCGUUCUCAUUGGUGGGAUGGAUACACCUCCCAAAAUGUUUUAUCUCUAAGUUUUUGGCUUUGAGCUCUGGCACCUCUACAAAUCCCUACUUCCCUCUGCGAAGGGCCUAUCUUUUACUUUAUGCAAUUUUUAUUUUGUAAUUUGAGUAUCCAUCUUCUCUUAUAAAAAGCAUCAACUAGGAGGCAAUAUGAUUGUACUUGAGUAUUGGACAUAGCUAAUAUGCGAGUGUGUUUCAUGAAUGGAUCAAUGCUUGAGCAUGACGGGCUAGAGAUAGCUUAUUUUAGCGUUGAUAUUUUGAAAGACAUGGUUGCUUGUUGAUAUGCUUUAGUAUUUAAAUUAUCAUGUCAAAACUAGACUAUUGCUUUGAACAAUAUAAAAGUCUAAAUGUCCAUGCUAUAAAUAAAGAAAUAUGAUAUGACAUGUUAGGCAGCAUUCGACAUCAAAAAUUCUGUUUUUAUCACUUCCCUACUCGAGGACGAGUAGGAGUUAAGCUUGGGGAUGCUGAUAUUUCUCCAACAUAUCUGUAAUUUUCGAUUGUUCAAUCCUAUUAUAUUAUCAAUCUUGGAUGUUUUAUAAUCAUUUUUGUAACACCUCGGAUGUAAUUUACCUUAUCUGUAUCCCAACUCUUGCCGUUUCCGGCCUAAGUUAUUUUAUUUUCCUCGGGUUCGGGUUU
rnacentral:rRNA from 1 species